UGGACGUGCAGGGGGAUGUUAU
rnacentral:miRNA from 1 species